UACGUAGGGUGCGAGCGUUAAUCGGAAUUACUGGGCGUAAAGCGUGCGCAGGCGGUUUUGUAAGACAGGAGUGAAAUCCCCGGGCUUAACCUGGGAACUGCGCUUGUGACUGCAAGACUCGAGUAAGGCAGAGGGGGGUAGAAUUCCACGUGUAGCAGUGAAAUGCGUAGAGAUGUGGAGGAAUACCGAUGGCGAAGGCAGCCCCCUGGGUCGAUACUGACGCUCAUGCACGAAAGCGUGGGGAGCAAACAGG
rnacentral:rRNA from 1 species